rnacentral:rRNA from 1 species
CAGUAGCGUAUAUUAAAGUUGUUGCAGUUAAAAAGCUCGUAGUUGGAUUUGUGGUGUUCUCGUGAUCCUCCUGCCGUUUACGGUGGAGUGAUCCAAUAUAGCACCAUCCUUGAUCACAUUCACUCUUGUUAGUGGGUGAGAUCAUCUUUUACUUUGAAAAAAUUGGAGUGAUUCAAGCAGGCAUAUUAAAAAUUCUUAAUAAUGCAUCUGCACAGAUUAGCAUGGAAUAAUGCAAGAGGACUUGGGUUUCUCUUUCAUUGGUUUCAGGAAUCCGAGUAAUGAUUGAUAGGGACAGUUGGGGGUGCUCGUACUCGACGGCCAGAGGUGAAAUUCUUGGAUUCGUUGAAGACGAACAACUGCGAAAGCAUUCACCAAGGAUGUCUUCUUUAA